GGUGAGAAUAUUGGCACAAUGGGGCGCAAGCCUGAUGCAGCCAUGCCGCGUGUGUGAAGAAGGCCUUCGGGUUGUAAAGUACUUUCAGUCGUGAGGAAGGGGGGGUAGUUAAUAGCUGCAUUAUUUGACGUUAGCGACAGAAGAAGCACCGGCUAACUCCGUGCCAGCAGCCGCGGUAAAUAAAAAAAA
rnacentral:rRNA from 1 species